AAUAAAUAAAAAUAGUGUGAGAAACUAUUUUUAUUGAAUUUCUAGAAGUAAAACAUAAGUCAGAAGUGACUUGUGUUGAAAUCGGAAUGAAAACAGAAUAUCUAGAAUUUUCUGUUGGAAACGGGACAGAUAAAUAAGCAGAAAAUGCACAGUCUCAGAAAAUUAUGAAAAUUGGCAGAGAUGUCAGAAAUAUUUUUAUGAGGCUAGAUUUAAGGUUUCAUAUUUUUCUGACACCCAUAGAGUGAGAAAUAAAAUCCGAAAGCUAUCUGAUAAAGAUUGCAGUUCGGUACAGUUUUCAGUGACCAAACGGGGUCGAAACUGAACCAAUGAUCGUCAGCUUGUUAAGCUAAGUAAAACCGAACAUGACUGUCAAGUUUGAGCUCAAACGGAUACUCAGGGAGCUCCGGCGAAAGUUAUCAGAUUUCAAGCUGCCCGGGAGUGAAUAGUGUCUUGGGGUGUAUUAUAAAGAAGCUGAAGCUUCUUCUUCCUCUCCUUCAGCCCGAGCACACCCACACCCACGCACGCAUGGAGUAGAGAGAGAAACACCUCUACCACUCUCUAGAUAUCUCUCUCAUCUCUGUAAAUCUCUCUCUAAAAAUUGGAGGGUUGGUGGAGAAGAUACUUGCGAACGCGUUGGAGGCGACGGAUCGGGCUUUCGUGCGGCCGUUGGAGCGGUGUGUUGUCGUCGCGGCGUUCACAUUGAGGUAAGCUUUUAGGAUUUGGCUUAAUCCUUAGUUUUAAGUGUUCUAAUAGCCUCUAAUGAGCAUUCUAAACAUGUUUGCUCCAUUUGAUUUGGAUUAUUUAGAGGUUAAUUCAUAUUAGGGCUCAAAAAUGCAAACUUUCAAAAUAUGAGGGUUUGAUCUCAUUUGANNN
rnacentral:lncRNA from 1 species